GGGAUCUUAGAGCUGGUAAGGCCCUUCUUCUGUCCUAAUGCUCUUUUCCUUUGCACAGUACCUCUGAGUAAAGAGAAAUUGAUUCCCCUCAAAAAUGUUUCCAGAUACAAAGAAGGCACUCAUUAUGGAGCCCCAACCAAGCCUUCAGAUGACUGCAGCGCUGGCAGGUAGUUUAACUGUCACAUCGUGAGAGACCCUGAAUUAGAAACACCCAGUAAAGCUGCUCCUAGAUUCCUGACCAGCAGAAACUGUAUGAGAUAAUCAUUGUUCAUUGUUGUUUUAAGCCUAUAAAUUUUGUGAUAAUUUGUUGCCCAGCAGUAGAUAACGAAUACUGCAUCUGUCUACUAUUCAUUCAUCUGACAGACAUCCAUUCAUUAUUUAUUGUGACAAGCCCCAACCUACGUGCUUGGGAUGCAGUAGUGAACACGAUCAGUAUGGUACCUGCCCUGACGGAAAUGAUCAUCUGGCAGGAGAGAUGAACAUUAAGCAAGGAGACAAACAGGUUGGCUUUUUGAAGAUAAGACAAAGGAGAAUAUGCCUUCCUUCAAGACUGACUUCAGGUGAACCCAAGGCUGUUCACAGGAGACCAGCCACUUACAGGUUAAACAAACACAUAAACACAGUGGUGUUAAUCAUAAAAAGAAAAAAUGCUUCUGAUCAUCACUGCAGUUCCGAAAUGGACAGCUGUGCCCCUGACGCUCGUCAGUGGCAUCAGUGUCACUGCUGACAACUGUACAGAGGUUGCUGAAGGCUGAGGCCCAGGCAGGUGCUGCAGCAGCUGUCAACGCUGCUGGCAUCUGGCACCAUGCCUGGCACUUAGGAGAAGCUCAGGAAAUGUUGGCUGAAUGGGUGACUGAAUGCCGCCUGCGCUGCCGCUGCCUUGUCCUUCAAUGCUCCAGGGAGUGGGGUUCACGGGGUGCAGGGUGUGUAUUGUAGCCCCUUGUUCUGAGAUUCAGGAAUGCCUCCAUUGAGCUGGGCCUGGGACAAUGUCAGUGACAACACAGAAAUGACCACAGAGCUGCCACUUUCUUCUGAAGCUUGCCUGUCUUCUUGAAACAAACCACCUUGUGGACAUUUUUUUCCCCUGGGGUGAGUUCUUUCCCAAGGGCACCUUGGUCUCUUCUAUGAAUAGGCCUCCACUACUCUACUAGCCUUGAGGAGGUGCCUAGACUUUCCUGAAUUUGAGGGUGAACAUGGCUUAGGUUCAAACAGGAACUUCUGCUACCUACAAUAUUCCCUGAAGAUCUAGACCAAACAUAAGCCCAACAGGGCCUGAUGUUCUAGACCUGAACUGUCCAAUAUGGUAGCCAUGAGCUACAUGUGGCUCUUUAAAGUUGUUAAUGAAAAUUAAAUGAAAUUUAAAAUUCAGUUCCUCAGUGGCACUAGCCACAUGUGAAGUGCUUCAUAGCCCAUAUUGGACAGUACAGAUUAUAGAUAGAACCUCUCCGACACCACAGUUUUAUUCAACAGAGCUGUGUCUAGAGCCAGAGCUCAUAAAAUGGAUUCUGCUAUCAAAGAACUGACCAUUAUGUAUAAACAAGAAAACUAUUCACUAGGGAUAAACAGAAGUCUGUCUCACUCAUGGGUUAGGCACAAAAGUCAGCAUAUAAGGCAAAAAUGGCUUCAUGUCAAAUUUUCCCUUGAAAAAUCCCUUAGGAAAAUGUCACUUUGGAGACAAGCUCUCAGUAAAUUCAAGACUGCAGUACUUCAUCCAGCGUUGGAGCAGAAGAAGAAGGAUCUGAUUUGUAGUUAGGAGCAAUGCACAAGAAAGAUCAAUGGUAUCUGUGAACACGGGUGUGACACCGCAGGGAGCUAGCCUUCAGCUGUGAGAGACCCAGAAGCACCUGAAGGCACAUCUGAAUCACAUCUGCAUUCUCAGGCUCUCUGCUACUUCCAUGGGAUGACAGGUGGAAUUGCCCACAGCAUUUAAGGGUCCUCUCUCUCUCUCUCUCUCUCUAUAUAUAUAUAUAUAAAAUUAAUAUAUUAUUAAUAUAAAUAUAUAUAAAAAUAUAUUUUUAUAUAUAUAUAUAUGGUGUUUUAUGUUUUAUGCUUUGGUGCCAAAUGUGUAGAGGUGAAGUUGAGUACAUUAAACGUAUUUACAAUACGAUUUCCCCACACACAUUCCAUGAGGCCGUCCGUUCUUUGCUGGGGGCUUGGCUAAAGGAAGGGACUCCCCUCCACCAGAGACCCAUGUGUUUUGUAAUUAAAGAACACCAGGUUUCUCCUUGAACUCUUUCUUUGGGAGGCCAGAAUUUCAACUACAUCACUGAGCUUUGGAAAACACAACACUGGCCCUCAGAUCAAACCUGAAGUUGUUCUAUAUACUGGGGUGUUUGGGGGCAGCACAGAGGGCAAGGGGCAUUCAGGCCCUUGGAAGCCCAGCUAAAAUCCUUUAGACCCAGAUGCCCUCCUGGGUCGCCCCAGCAAGCGGCAAUCUCUGUCCCCGGGAACUCCUGUAAGGUGCAAUGUUCUGCCCGCUUGGUCUGUUCCUAUAUAUUGACAGUCAUCUUUAUGUAUAUUUUAUACAUAUAACUGUCUUUCCAGUUUGAUCAUAAAUUCUUCAAGGGCAGAUGGCAUAGGUCUUUUAUCUCUUUUUAUAACCCACAGUGUCUAACACGGUGCCUUCAUAUAAAAGUGCUCCAUUCCUAUGUAGCUUCAUUAGCAACAGUUAUGAGUGAUUCCCUCAGGAUAUGAACUAACUCUAUAGACAUGCUUUAAGAGUACCAAGUACAUGAAAAGGCCAGUAUUUGCCCUUUCAACUUAGGAAGCUGAAUUUUUAAAAUCAUUUACUUAAUUUUGAAGUUGAGGAUUGCAAGGGAGUUCCCAAGUCAGGAAUUUACAUCAUUUGCAAAAGCAAAGAGAAUGUUAGUUGCCUUAAAAAACCCCAAACGGUGAGGUAACCUCAAUAUUUGACAUUAAUCAAAGCCUUACCAAAAAAGCAGAUCUGUUUCUAACCUUCUCAAAGAAAGAGACUGUGGUCUUGUAUGUGGUUUUUUGUUUUGUUUUGUUUUUUUCAUUUGAGGAUUUAAAAAAAGCGGGAUAAAUGAAUGGUUAAUUAGAAUCUUAGAGUAACAGACCACACAACUCCAGGAAGAUUCUCAUUUAAAAAAAUUAUUUCUUUUCAGUAAUUUCUCAUCAUGUUGUGCAUAUCUUCCUUGUUCACCUUUUAACAACAUUAAAAAUCAUUUUAUGCUGAACUAAAUAUAGUUUUUAUUGCAUUAGGGGAAACCCAUGCUUUCUAAUGUUGGAACAGCUGUAAUAAUUCAGAGUAAAAAAUCUCUGAGUACAUUUUACAAACAUCAUUCUAAAUAUUGCCUAAUACACUGCUAAUUUUGGCUAGAUUUUAAAUAAAAUAGGCUUCAAUGAAAUGAUAUGAAAAGCAUGUUCCAAUGGAUUAGACACAGUCUCAAGGAUUAACUCUUUUAAUGCUGUUUCAUUACAAAAUCAUGGAAGAGUAUUGUAGAAAUUGGUAUCAUGAUUAUUUUAACUUUGGCCUUAUCAGCUGUAAGAAAUGUUUUACUCCGUUGUCACCUAUGGCUCUCCAAACACAGCGUCACAAGUUUCAUUAUUUCCAUUUCCCACAGGAGGCAAAUUAAGACUGGAGAUUUAAAGUGCCCACCUGGGACUUCCCUGGUGGCGCAGUGGUUAAGAAUCCGCCUGCCAAUGCAGGGGACACGGGUUUGAGCACUGGUCUGGAAGGUCUCACGUGCCGCGGAGCAACUAAGCCCGUGUGCCACAACUCCUGAGUCUGCACGCCACAACUAUUGAGCCCGCACGCCACAACUAUUGAGCCCGCACGCCUAGAGCCCGUGCUCUGCAACAAGAGAAGCCACCGCAGUGAGAAGCCUACGCACCGAAACCAAGAGUAGCCUCUGCUCACCACAACUAGAGAGAGCCCGUGCGCAGCAACGACGACCCGACGCAGCCAAAAAUAAAUAAGUAAAAUUUAUAAACAAAAAAAAAUAAAGUGCCUGCCUGAACACACACAACAAAUCCCUGAGGCCCAGGUGCCUCUUCCUUCUCACCUUAUCACAGCCUCACUGCUUCUCUUCUUCCCCUUUCAAAACCAACUGUUCAGGUGAAUGAAUAAAGAAACUGGUACAUCCACACAAUGGAAUACUACUCAGCAACAAAAAGGAAAAACUUGAUACACACAACGUGAAUCUCAAAUGCAUUACGCAAGAAGCCAAUCUCCAAGGAUUAUAUAUGGUAUAAUUCUCUUCAAAUGACAUUCAGGAAAAGGCAAAACUACAGGCAGGUGGAAUGGGUCAGUGGUUGCCUGAUUAGUGCUAGGAGUGGGGGGCAAGUUUAACUACAAAGGGGUAGCCCAAGGGAAUUUUUGGGGGGUGAUGGAAGGAUUCUACAUCCUGAUCGAGGUGAUUGUUACGUGAAUCUAUGCAUGUGUUAAAACUCCUAAAACUGCACACCAAGAAAAAUGUGAAUUUACUGUAUGCAAAUUAUAUUUUAAAAGAACCCAUUGCACACACAACAUGAACUCAUUAGGUCUCUGAGGGCCCUCAGACACUUUCCUUCCCUUGAUCAGUUUAUUAAUGUUGGCAACACACAA